GCGACAGAGCUAAUCAUUAGCACCUGACCCUGCACCGAGGGAUAGAAUAGCGGUCCACUUGGCAGCCCACUUUUCUAUCCCUGGGACUGGUGCCGCUGCUGCCACCACAGCUGCCCUCAC
rnacentral:precursor_RNA from 15 species